rnacentral:tRNA from 3 species
GGAGAGGUCGCAUAGUGGCCGAGUGCGCGUGUAGUCCAAUUGGAUUCGGGGGUUCAAAUCCCCUCCUCUCCU